UGGGUGGUAUCAUUUAGAGCUGCACCGAAUUGAGAUAUUAAAUUUUUGAGGAUUUUACUGCUUAUAUCUUUUUAGAAUAAGACUUUUGG
rfam:Clostridium tepidiprofundi DSM 19306 CLTE_contig000011, whole genome shotgun sequence.